rnacentral:rRNA from 1 species
GACGAAGGAUGCAAGCGUUAUCCGGAUUCAUUGGGUUUAAAGGGUGCGUAGGCGGCCUUGUAAGUCAGUGGUGAAAUCUCGCAACUUAACUGCGAAACUGCCAUUGAUACUGCAGGGCUUGAGUACAGAUGCUGUGGGCGGAAUAUGACAUGUAGUGGUGAAAUACAUAGAGAUGUCAUAGAACACCGAUUGCGAAGGCAGCUCACAAAACUGUAACUGACGCUGAGGCUCGAAAGUGUGGGGAUCAAACAGG